GACGAACGCUGGCGGCGUGCCUAAUACAUGCAAGUCGAACGCUUCUUUCCUCCCGAGUGCUUGCACUCAAUUGGAAAGAGGAGUGGCGGACGGGUGAGUAACACGUGGGUAACCUACCCAUCAGAGGAGGAUAACACUUGGAAACAGGUGCUAAUACCGCAUAACAGUUUAUGCCGCAUGGCAUAAGAGUGAAAGGCGCUUUCGGGUGUCGCUGAUGGAUGGGCCCGCGGUGCAUUAGCUAGUUGGUGAGGUAACGGCUCACCAAGGCCACGAUGCAUAGCCGACCUGAGAGGGGGAUCGGCCACACUGGAACUGAGACACGGCCCAGACUCCUACGGGAGGCAGCAGUAGGGAAUCUUCGGCAAUGGACGAAAGUCUGACCGAGCAACGCCGCGUGAGUGAAGAAGGUUUUCGGAUCGUAAAACUCUGUUGUUAGAGAAGAACAAGGACGUUAGUAACUGAACGUCCCCUGACGGUAUCUAACCAGAAAGCCACGGCUAACUACGUG
rnacentral:rRNA from 1 species